GAGCGGCGGACGGGUGCGUAACACGUGAGAAUCUGCCUUUUAGUGGGGGACAACUCGGGGAAACUCGAGCUAAUACCGCAUAUGUUCUACGGAAUAAAGCAGGGGACCUUCGGGCCUUGCGCUAAAAGAUGAGCUCGCGCGAGAUUAGCUUGUUGGUGAGGUAAAGGCUCACCAAGGCGACGAUCUCUAGCUGGUCUGAGAGGAUGAUCAGCCACACUGGGACUGAGACACGGCCCAGACUCCUACGGGAGGCAGCAGUGGGGAAUAUUGGACAAUGGGGGCAACCCUGAUCCAGCCAUGCCGCGUGUGUGAAGAAGGCUUUCGGGUUGUAAAGCACUUUAAGUUGGGAGGAAGGCUGAACGGUUAAUACCCGUUUGGAUUGACGUUACCAACAGAAUAAGCACCGGCUAAUUCCGUGCCAGCAGCCGCGGUAAUACGGAAGGUGCGAGCGUUAAUCGGAAUUACUGGGCGUAAAGCGCACGUAGGUGGUUUGUUAAGUUGGAUGUGAAAGCCCAGGGCUCAACCUUGGAAUUGCAUCCGAUACUGGCAGGCUAGAGUACAGUAGAGGGAGGUGGAAUUUCCGGUGUAGCGGUGAAAUGCGUAGAGAUCGGAAGGAACACCAGUGGCGAAGGCGGCCUCCUGGACUGAUA
rnacentral:rRNA from 1 species